AUCGCUUCUCGCUCUUUUGGCUAAGAUCAUGCAUAAUAUCUGUUCUUGUCAGCUUAUUAUCUGGAAUGCUGGGCGUUGCCUGGCACCAAUUUUAAACUGAAUUUUGCUUCUCGAGUUAACACCGAAGCUUGCUUCAGUCGACUCACGGGUUGUCCCGCUCUUACACUACUAUCAUAAUUUGUCUACUUCAG